AUUGAACGCUAGCGGGAGGCUUUACACAUGCAAGUCGAACGAGUGGCGGACGGGUGAGUAAUAUAUCGGAACGUGCCCAGUAACGGGGGAUAACUACUCGAAAGAGUGCAUAAUACCGCAUACUAUUGGCUCGCCCGAUAUCGGAUUAGAUAGUUGGUGGGGGAAAAGCUCACCAAGGCAACGAUCCGUAGCUGGUUUGAGAGGACGACCAGCCAAACUGGUAAUGAGACACGGCCCAGACUCCUACGGGAGGAAGAAGGGGGGAAUUUUGGACAAUGGGGGAAACCCUGAUCCAGCCAUCCCGCGGGUAUGAGAAGGCCUUCGGGUUGUAAAGUAAUUUUGGCAGAGAAGCGGUAUCUGAAGAAUAAGCACCGGCUAACUACGUGCCAGCCGCCGCGGUAAUAC
rnacentral:rRNA from 1 species